AUUGAACGCUAGCGGGAUGCUUUACACAUGCAAGUCGAACGAGUGGCGGACGGGUGAGUAAUAUAUCGGAACGUGCCCAGUAGCGGGGGAUAACUACUCGAAAGAGUGGCUAAUACCGCAUACUAUCUGAACGGCCCAUGUCGGAUUAGCUAGUUGGUGGGGUAAAGGCUCACCAAGGCCACGAUCCGUAGCUGGUUUGAGAGGACGACCAGCCACACUGGGACUGAGACACGGCGCAGACUACUACGGGAGGCAGCAGUGGGGAAUUUUGGACAAUGGGGGAAACCCUGAUGCAGCCAUCCCGCGUGUAUGAGAAGGCCUUCGGGUUGUAAAGUACUUUUGGCAGAGAAGCGGUAUCUGCAGAAGAAGCACCGGCUAACUACGUGCCAGCAGCCGCGGUAAUUC
rnacentral:rRNA from 1 species